rnacentral:rRNA from 1 species
AGGGAAAAGCUCAAAUUUUGAAUCUGACGUCUUUGGCGUCCGAGUUGUAAUCUAGAGAAGUGUUUUCUGCCUUGGACCGUGCAUAAAUUCCCUGGAAUGGGGUGUCAUAGAGGGUGAGAAUCCCGUUUGUGGCGUGGACUCCCUUGGCUUUGUGAUACACUCUCAAC